rnacentral:rRNA from 1 species
GACGAACGCUGGCGGCGUGCUUAACACAUGCAAGUCGAACGGUAAGGCCCCAGCUUGCUGGGGUACACGAGUGGCGAACGGGUGAGUAACACGUGGGUGACCUGCCCCGCACUUCGGGAUAAGCCUGGGAAACUGGGUCUAAUACCGGAUAGGACCGCACCGUGAGGGUGUGGUGGAAAGUUUUUCGGUGUGGGAUGGGCCCGCGGCCUAUCAGCUUGUUGGUGGGGUAAUGGCCUACCAAGGCGGCGACGGGUAGCCGGCCUGAGAGGGUGGACGGCCACAUUGGGACUGAGACACGGCCCAGACUCCUACGGGAGGCAGCAGUGGGGAAUAUUGCACAAUGGGCGGAAGCCUGAUGCAGCGACGCCGCGUGGGGGAUGACGGCCUUCGGGUUGUAAACUCCUUUCACCAUCGACGAAGGUUUUCUGACGGUAGAUGGAGAAGAAGCACCGGCUAACUACGU